UCAGACCUGAGGUACGUAACUCCCGCUGGCGGGACGUACCUAUAACGGAGCACCGACGUUACCGAGCAAACGCAAAAACGUCGCCAUCAGGAAACACCUGACUGCUCUAAAACUCGGAUGUGGGCUUCCUCGUGUGUGGACUGGCGAGGAGGCUGUUUCAAUCAUCAGGUCAUGCGUCCGUGCACAUACAUAUAAGCGAACUAGCGGCUGGAUACCGGCAUGCAUAUGCAUAUCCUCUGCACGCAUGCAUGACUGCUACCGAACGUUACGUAACGUUAAAACCAUAUUGAUAUGGCUUGCUUGUACAAGUGGAACCGCCCCUAGAUUCCUUCCUUCUCCAACAGUGACGCGUGCAGGGCUUGUGGUGGUGGGGGGGGGAAUUAGCCAUUUUAAACAUAUUGACGCCACUGCCAACACCUUGCAGGUAGGGCCAUUUUUUUCCUUCACUUGUAGCCUUGCUUGC
rnacentral:lncRNA from 1 species